CCUACGGGAGGCAGCAGUGAGGAAUAUUGGUCAAUGGACGAGAGUCUGAACCAGCCAAGUAGCGUGAAGGAUGACUGCCCUAUGGGUUGUAAACUUCUUUUAUAUGGGAAUAAAAUGUCUUACGUGUGGGUUUUUGUAUGUACCAUAUGAAUAAGGAUCGGCUAACUCCGUGCCAGCAGCCGCGGUAAUACGGAGGAUCCGAGCGUUAUCCGGAUUUAUUGGGUUUAAAGGGAGCGUAGGUGGAUUGUUAAGUCAGUUGUGAAAGUUUGGGGCUCAACCGUAGAAUUGCAGUUGAGACUGGCAGUCUUGAGUGCGGUAGAGGUGGGCGGAAUUCGUGGUGUAGCGGUGAAAUGCUUAGAUAUCACGAAGAACUCCGAUUGCGAAGGCAGCUCACUGGACUGCAACUGACACUGAGGCUCGAAAGUGUGGGUAUCAAACAGGAUUAGAUACCCUAGUAGUC
rnacentral:rRNA from 1 species